UAUUAUUAUUUUACUGUUCAAAUUUUUAAUUAUUAUUUAAAUCAAUCAGAACAAAGUAAAGGUAGAAAUGAGUUUCUCAAAGUUUCUCAGAUGAAAAACGUUUCUGUUCUCUCUCCUCCUUUUUCUCAUUUUUUAUUCUGGUUUAAUAGAAAGUCUCUCCUCUAGAGACUCCCAAUGGAAAUGUUCUUAGCUGCAUUGACUUAAUGAGACUACAGAAUGAGAAACGUAUUUAACAGUUGAAUAUGGUGCAAUGGUUGUUUUAAUAAAUGUUGUAAAGGAUGUGGCAAAUUUAGUGUUGUAAUUUAUCAAUACCGUGAAUUUGGUUGGGUGAGAUUGUCUUUGUCUUGUGUUGUCUUUUCGGUCACUAAAAUUUUUGACUUUUUUUUUCAUCCCAAUAAUUUUUGAACUCAGUUAAGUUAU
rnacentral:sRNA from 1 species